rnacentral:rRNA from 1 species
GAAUGCUAAUACCGCAUACGCCCUACGGGGGAAAGCAGGGGAUCUUCGGACCUUGCGCUAAUAGAUGAGCCUAAGUCAGAUUAGCUAGUUGGUGGGGUAAAGGCCUACCAAGGCGACGAUCUGUAGCGGGUCUGAGAGGAUGAUCCGCCACACUGGGACUGAGACACGGCCCAGACUCCUACGGGAGGCAGCAGUGGGGAAUAUUGGACAAUGUGCGAAAGCCUGAUCCAGCCAUGCCGCGUGUGUGAAGAAGGCCUUUUGGUUGUAAAGCACUUUAAGCGAGGAGGAGGCUACCGAGAUUAAUACUCUUGGAUAGUGGACGUUACUCGCAGAAUAAGCACCGGCUAACUCUGUGCCAGCAGCCGCGGUAAUACAGAGGGUGCGAGCGUUAAUCGGAUUUACUGGGCGUAAAGCGUGCGUAGGCGGCUUUUUAAGUCGGAUGUGAAAUCCCUGAGCUUAACUUAGGAAUUGCAUUCGAUACUGGGAAGCUAGAGUAUGGGAGAGGAUGGUAGAAUUCCAGGUGUAGCGGUGAAAUGCGUAGAGAUCUGGAGGAAUACCGAUGGCGAAGGCGGCCAUCUGGCCUAAUACUGACGCUGAGGUACGAAAGCAUGGGGAGCAAACAGGAUUAGAUACCCUGGUAGUCCAUGCC